rnacentral:rRNA from 1 species
UGAGGAAUAUUGGUCAAUGGACGCAAGUCUGAACCAGCCAAGUAGCGUGCAGGAUGACGGCCCUAUGGGUUGUAAACUGCUUUUAUAUGGGGAUAAAGUGGGGAACGUGUUCCCUUUUGCAGGUACCAUAUGAAUAAGGACCGGUUAAUUCCGUGCCAGCAGCCGCGGUAAUACGGAAGGUUCGGGCGUUAUCCGGAUUUAUUGGGUUUAAAGGGAGCGUAGGCCGUUUGGUAAGCGUGUUGUGAAAUGUAGGAGCUCAACUUCUAGAUUGCAGCGCGAACUGUCAGACUUGAGUGCGCACAACGUAGGCGGAAUUCAUGGUGUAGCGGUGAAAUGCUUAGAUAUCAUGACGAACUCCGAUUGCGAAGGCAGCUUACGGGAGCGCAACUGACGCUAAAGCUCGAAGGUGCGGGUAUCGAACAGG